UCCGCGGCCGGGUUGCCAUGGGGACGGCGCCAUGGAGGUGACAGGCAGCAACUACGUCGGGGGCCGUGCGCGGGGCAGGUUGGAGGGAAGCGGCUGCUACAUGCUCCCCACCAUGAGUCAGUACAAGGGCGACAUGAAAGAUGGGAUGUUCCACGGGAAAGGAGCCUUGCACUUCCCGAACGGAGGCAAAUACGACGGCGUCUGGGACCAUGGCAUAGCCAAGGAGGGGAAAUACACUUUUGCAGAUGGCCUCGAAUUCAAAGAAAAAAACUGGCAUUACUGCGAUGGCUACGACCGAAGGUUUUACACAGAAAUCUGUUCAGGUCUCAAACCAGCAGGUAUCUCACAGCUUACGAACUUAGAUCCUCCCAGACCUAUCCCAGAAGGAUGUUACGACUGCGGUGAUGGAUUUUACAACCCUAACACCAGAGUUGUCACUGACUACAAGCUCAGGUUUCUGAGGAAUGCAGAUGAUGAUGAACAUGAAUGGAUCAUUCGGACUUGCCGAAAAGGUUGGGAUGAGAUAAUUGGACGUAAACCUAAACUCUGAGCACUGAUUUUGCUUUUACUGCGAUUUUGGAAAGCCGUGAAUUUGCUUCAUCCUUAAGUCUAAAUUUCCUUGUGGAUCUACACCAGCCCCUACGCGAAUGUAGCUUUUGUUAGUAUAAUAAAGCUGGAAGCAGGAUUUAAUCAGUUGUGUUCACGCAAAGUCAUGGAAGCAAGCACAUUAUACUUAUCCUAAUAUUCAUGAGAGGUGUGCAGUGCAGUAGGAUCUCAAUACAUAACACAUGAUUAAGCCUCAAAACAAUCUGCCAGAAAGAAUACCUCAAAUUCAGUGUUUGAAGCCAUUCAGCUCCGUCUUAAUCAACAUUAUUUCCAUGGGUCCUAGUUAGCUGUCCUGGUGAAUUCCUUUCCUCUCCCUUUGCACAGUACUUUGAUAUUGAUUGAUCAUUGUAAUAAUGUAUACCAGAACCAUUCUUUAAUGACUGGUUUGCUAACUAGGAAAUUAUAUCCAUUUACCACGAACAUUUGUUGAACUCUCCUGAAGCCAGAGUUUAACAAAAUAAUACAAGAGAAAAACUGGGUGGGUUGCUGCCUGAUGAGUAAGCCAGAAAGUAUUUAAAAAUAAAAUAAAAUGGAAUUACAUCAUUUUCUUGAUGUAAGUGCCAGCACUUCUACUUGCAUGAACUUUAUUUAUUACACAAAUAAGACAUUUACAAAGCACAACAUUAAAAGUAUGUAACAAAACAGACAUUGGUUUUACAAAAAAGUGCUUACAAUUUAGUUUUAGGUUUUUGUUUUUGUUUUUUUUUAAUAAAUAUUAGUCUUGACUGUCCACUCAUUCAAAGGAUUUUCUUUAACCAUUGUAGCCAAGACAUGCAUCAUUGCAACAUGUUACAGUGAAACGAUCAGCUUUUGAAAUAAAACUCUUGAUAAGUGUCUAUAGUUGGCAUCGUGUUACUAGGUCUGACUAUAUCACUGAGAGCAGCAGUGCAGGCUUUUUCCCCUUGUUCCCCCAUCCCAAAUAAUAAGUCAUGUAAGCACCUUUAUCUGGGGUACUGGGGUUAACCUACUUGAGCCCAAAACCAAUAUAGUUUGGAAAUAAAAUUGUAAACCAUUCCGUUUUCAGACCCCCGUCGUAUGUAUUUCUCUUGUUCACUUCUAGCGGAAAGUUUGCCUCUCACUAGCUACCCUCACAGGAUUCAGUCUAACUUUUUUUUUUUUUGUAAAUAGCCAUUGGAAAACUUCAAUACACAGAGUCUGCAGUACUGCACCAUGACCCAUUUGGCAAUUACUGAACAAACAAAGUAAAUGAGAAGGGGUUUAUAAAAAAAAAAAAAAUCUAUGGACAGGAGAUGAAUGCAAAUGACCUGAGAUAAGGUUUGGUUCAAUGGCAACAGUCAAUGUGAAAUGCAUUGUGAAAGAAAGUAUUGAAUAAAUUAGAGGAUUUCUUACAUUCUUGGUACAGUCGAGUAUUUUCCAUACACAUAAUUAGCUCUAAAACUGCACAAGCUGAAUUGCUUCCAGUUUUUGCAAACAAUUUGGGCUUAACACAACAGAGCCUGAUUUCUGAAUUAGCAAAGCUGCUCGUGGCUACUUAUCGAGGAGAUUUCCCUUGAGCAUGAGUUGUACGGUGCAAUACUCUCUACAUGUCUAGUGGGGACUCCACUUACACUAUACAUAUUUGGUCAGAAACAUCUAUGCUACAUUAGCCCUGUGCUUCGCAUUCUGAUCCUGUCAGUGGUAACAGCUACAAAAACUUGGAUGUACAGUACAUUAUACAAGUCUGACUUGGUCAAUCACUAUAGUGGUUAUUUAGCAGAUCUACUCAGCAGCCUUGCUCCCCCUUGCCCUGCUGAGAUGGAAGAUAAACGUAUCGAACCAUUUUCUUGUUAAAAA